GAUUAACGCUAGCGGCAGGCCUAAUACAUGCAAGUCGAACGGUAAAUAGUGUAGCAAUACAUUAUGAGAGUGGCGCACGGGUGAGUAACGCGUAUGCAACCUACCUUUAACUGGGGGAUAGCCUUCCGAAAGGAAGAUUAAUACCGCAUAAAAUUAUGAAGUGGCAUCACUUUAUAAUCAAAACUCCGGUGGUUAAAGAUGGGCAUGCGUGACAUUAGCUAGUUGGUGAGGUAACGGCUCACCAAGGCGACGAUGUCUAGGGGGUCUGAGAGGAUGAUCCCCCACACUGGUACUGAGACACGGACCAGACUCC
rnacentral:rRNA from 1 species